UACAGAGGGUGCGAGCGUUAAUCGGAAUUACUGGGCGUAAAGCGCGCGUAGGCGGCUUUGCAAGUCGGGUGUGAAAUCCCCAGGCUUAACCUGGGAACUGCAUUCGAGACUGCAUUGCUAGAGUAUGGGAGAGGGAAGUGGAAUUUCCGGUGUAGCGGUGAAAUGCAUAGAUAUCGGAAGGAACAUCAGUGGCGAAGGCGGCGACCUGGGCCAAUACUGACGCUGAGGCACGAAGGUCAGGGGAGCAAACGGG
rnacentral:rRNA from 1 species